rnacentral:rRNA from 1 species
AUCCGGGUUGCGGACAGUGUCUGGUGGGUAGUUUGACUGGGGCGGUCUCCUCCUAAAGAGUAACGGAGGAGCACGAAGGUUGGCUAAUCCUGGUCGGACAUCAGGAGGUUAGUGCAAUGGCAUAAGCCAGCUUGACUGCGAGCGUGACGGCGCGAGCAGGUGCGAAAGCAGGUCAUAGUGAUCCGGUGGUUCUGAAUGGAAGGGCCAUCGCUCAACGGAUAAAAGGUACUCCGGGGAUAACAGGCUGAUACCGCCCAAGAGUUCAUAUCGACGGCGGUGUUUGGCACCUCGAUGUCGGCUCAUCACAUCCUGGGGCUGAAGUAGGUCCCAAGGGUAUGGCUGUUCGCCAUUUAAAGUGGUACGCGAGCUGGGUUUAGAACGUCGUGAGACAGUUCGGUCCCUAUCUGCCGUGGGCGCUGGAGAACUGAGGGGGGCUGCUCCUAGUACGAGAGGACCGGAGUGGACGCAUCACUGGUGUUCGGGUUGUCAUGCCAAUGGCACUGCCCGGUAGCUAAAUGCGGAAGAGAUAAGUGCUGAAAGCAUCUAAGCACGAAACUUGCCCCGAGAUGAGUUCUCCCUGACC